rnacentral:lncRNA from 1 species
UGGUAUAUAAGAUAGAACAACAAGGAAGAAAAAGAAGGCUAACUGAUGAUGGCGUUUAUCAGCAACAACAAGAAGGCUAUGUGUUUGGUAGCUCUACUGGUCAUGUGCACCAGUUUUUGGUCUUGUCAAGCAGCAGCAGCAAAGUGCAGCAAAGGUAUUUUAUUUCCUGUCGCAAAUAAUCCUUUUAUUAUUGUACUCAUAUAUUUUCAUGUUCCAACAAAUAAAAAGUAUCUAGUGCACUAUGUAUAGUAGCUAACUGGUUGUUGUCUUUGCUGUGCAUUAUGUGCAUUAUGCGCAUUAUGUGCAGAUGUCGAAUACCUCUGUUACCCUUUGGAAGACUGUGCGGAUAAGUCGUGCCAAGCGUUGUGUGCAAUCCAUGGUUUGGAUCUGUCUAAAGCC